rnacentral:rRNA from 1 species
AAAAGAACCUGAAACCGUGUACGUACAAGCAGUGGGAGCACAGGUUUACCUGUGUGACUGCGUACCUUUUGUAUAAUGGGUCAGCGACUUAUAUUCUGUAGCAAGGUUAACCGAAUAGGGGAGCCGGAGGGAAACCGAGUCUUAAUUGGGCGUUAAGUUGCAGGGUAUAGACCCGAAACCCGGUGAUCUAGCCAUGGGCAGGUUGAAGGUUGGGUAACACUAACUGGAGGACCGAACCGACUAAUGUUGAAAAAUUAGCGGAUGACCUGUGGCUGGGGGUGAAAGGCCAAUCAAACCGGGAGAUAGCUGGUUCUCCCCGAAAGCUAUUUAGGUAGCGCCUCGUGAAUUCAUCUCCGGGGGUAGAGCACUGUUUCGGCUAGGGGGCCAUCCCGGCUUACCAACCCGAUGCAAACUGCGAAUACCGGAGAAUGUUAUCACGGGAGACACACGGCGGGUGCUAACGUCCGUCGUGAAGAGGGAAACAACCCAGACCGCCAGCUAAGGUCCCAAAGUCAUGGUUAAGUGGGAAACGAUGUGGGAAGGCCCAGACAGCCAGGAUGUUGGCUUAGAAGCAGCCAUCAUUUAAAGAAAGCGUAAUAGCUCACUGGUCGAGUCGGCCUGCGCGGAAGAUGUAACGGGGCUAAACCAUGCACCGAAGCUGCGGCAGCGACACUGUGUGUUGUUGGGUAGGGGAGCGUUCUGUAAGCCUGUGAAGGUGUGUCGUGAGGCAUGCUGGAGGUAUCAGAAGUGCGAAUGCUGACAUAAGUAACGAUAAAGCGGGUGAAAAGCCCGCUCGCCGGAAGACCAAGGGUUCCUGUCCAACGUUAAUCGGGGCAGGGUGAGUCGACCCCUAAGGCGAGGCCGAAAGGCGUAGUCGAUGGGAAACGGGUUAAUAUUCCCGUACUUGGUGUUACUGCGAAGGGGGGACGGAGAAGGCUAUGUUGGCCGGGCGACGGUUGUCCCGGUUUAAGCGUGUAGGUGUGUGUUCCAGGUAAAUCCGGUUCACUUUAACACUGAGGCGUGACGACGAGGCACUACGGUGCUGAAGCAACAAAUGCCCUGCUUCCAGGAAAAGCCUCUAAGCAUCAGGUAACAUCAAAUCGUACCCCAAACCGACACAGGUGGUCAGGUAGAGAAUACCAAGGCGCUUGAGAGAACUCGGGUGAAGGAACUAGGCAAAAUGGUGCCGUAACUUCGGGAGAAGGCACGCUGACACGUAGGUGAAGUGAUUUACUCAUGGAGCUGAAGUCAGUCGAAGAUACCAGCUGGCUGCAACUGUUUAUUAAAAACACAGCACUGUGCAAACACGAAAGUGGACGUAUACGGUGUGACGCCUGCCCGGUGCCGGAAGGUUAAUUGAUGGGGUCAGCGCAAGCGAAGCUCCUGAUCGAAGCCCCGGUAAACGGCGGCCGUAACUAUAACGGUCCUAAGGUAGCGAAAUUCCUUGUCGGGUAAGUUCCGACCUGCACGAAUGGCGUAAUGAUGGCCAGGCUGUCUCCACCCGAGACUCAGUGAAAUUGAACUCGCUGUGAAGAUGCAGUGUACCCGCGGCAAGACGGAAAGACCCCGUGAACCUUUACUAUAGCUUGACACUGAACAUUGAGCCUUGAUGUGUAGGAUAGGUGGGAGGCUUUGAAGUGUGGACGCCAGUCUGCAUGGAGCCGACCUUGAAAUACCACCCUUUAAUGUUUGAUGUUCUAACGUGGACCCGUUACCCGGGUUGCGGACAGUGUCUGGUGGGUAGUUUGACUGGGGCGGUCUCCUCCUAAAGAGUAACGGAGGAGCACGAAGGUUGGCUAAUCCUGGUCGGACAUCAGGAGGUUAGUGCAAUGGCAUAAGCCAGCUUGACUGCGAGCGUGACGGCGCGAGCAGGUGCGAAAGCAGGUCAUAGUGAUCCGGUGGUUCUGAAUGGAAGGGCCAUCGCUCAACGGAUAAAAGGUACUCCGGGGAUAACAGGCUGAUACCGCCCAAGAGUUCAUAUCGACGGCGGUGUUUGGCACCUCGAUGUCGGCUCAUCACAUCCUGGGGCUGAAGUAGGUCCCAAGGGUAUGGCUGUUCGCCAUUUAAAGUGGUACGCGAGCUGGGUUUAGAACGUCGUGAGACAGUUCGGUCCCUAUCUGCCGUGGGCGCUGGAGAACUGAGGGGGGCUGCUCCUAGUACGAGAGGACCGGAGUGGACGCAUCACUGGUGUUCGGGUUGUCAUGCCAAUGGCACUGCCCGGUAGCUAAAUGCGGAAGAGAUAAGUGCUGAAAGCAUCUAAGCACGAAACUUGCCCCGAG